GACAAUGGUCACACUGUCCUGAGAGUACCUGAUCCCGUCAGAUCUCGGAAGCUAAGCAGGGCCAGGCUGGGUUAGUACUUGGAUAGGAGACCGCCUUGGAAGACCAGGGCUCGCUAGAC
rnacentral:rRNA from 1 species